GCGGAUGUGGUGGAAUUGGUAGACACACUGGAUUUAGGUUCCAGCGCCGCGAGGCGUAAGAGUUAGAGUCUCUUCAUCCGCACCA
rnacentral:tRNA from 1 species